rnacentral:rRNA from 1 species
CCUACGGGGGGCUGCAGUGGGGAAUAUUGGACAAUGGGGGGAACCCUGAUCCAGCCAUGCCGCGUGUGUGAAGAAGGCCCUCGGGUUGUAAAGCACUUUCAGUGAGGAAGAACGCCUGGUGGUUAAUACCCAUCAGGAAAGACAUCACUCACAGAAGAAGCACCGGCUAACUCCGUGCCAGCAGCCGCGGUAAUACGGAGGGUGCGAGCGUUAAUCGGAAUUACUGGGCGUAAAGCGCGCGUAGGUGGCUUGAUAAGCCGGUUGUGAAAGCCCCGGGCUCAACCUGGGAACGGCAUCCGGAACUGUCAAGCUAGAGUGCAGGAGAGGAAGGUAGAAUUCCCGGUGUAGCGGUGAAAUGCGUAGAGAUCGGGAGGAAUACCAGUGGCGAAGGCGGCCUUCUGGACUGACACUGACACUGAGGUGCGAAAGCGUGGGUAGCAAACAGGAUUAGAUGCCCGGGUAGUC